CUCUUACACGUUAUUUUGAAAAUAUUAAUUUAUUUCACAGAAAAACUUGUAAUAGGCCCAAUUUGCCCGGCCCGCUAUUAAAAUAAACCAAACCAAAAAGUCCAAUAAACAGUCCAAUUACAAUGGGCCAAAUUCGGGUUGAAGCCCAGUCACUAAACCCGAUUACAGACCCUAACCUGGUCCUAACCAUCAACCCAAACCCGUUACAAACCCAAGCCCAAAAGCAAAGAAAAAACCUAAAACGCUAAACGGUUUUUGAAACAAGCCUCAGCCGCCGCAGCAGAAACCCGAGCCACUCUCCACGCACGUAACACCACUCACGCUAGCCUCCGUACAUGCGCGCCGCGUACAUUCGUACGUGCCACGUCCCCGUCACCGUACGGCCGUACCUGCAAACAAGCAAACAAGCAAAAAUGAACAGAAAACAGCACAAAAUGGAACGAAAAAUUGUAAUAAGGGAGAAAAAGCAAAAACAAAAAAAGAGAGGGAUUUCUGUAUUUUCUUUUUGGCUAUAUAAAGCCAUUGCAAAAUCUGUAAAAGGACACAGACAAAAAAAUCACACACGCAUUCAAUAUACAAAAAAAAUCAGAAUACCAAGAGGUGAUCUUUCUGGGUUCUUUUCUUUCUUUUAUUCGCAGUUCUUCUUUCCGUUUUAUAUUCUGUUGAUUGUUUAUUAAAAAAGAAGCGGUAGCAGUAAAAGAAAGGGGACGUACCUGGUAACCGCAUCCUCUUUCUCUCCGUCGUCAUCAGAGUUGAAUGGGGAUCGGGGCCUAAGGUGAUGAAUCGUCAGAGCGGCGCAAGAGGAAGGCCAUUGCUCUUUAGGUUUUAGGAAGGUUAAAAGGUUUUAGGUUAGAUCUUUAAGGGCCAUCAUUAAAACGCUAACGUUCAAGGUCAAUAUAAUGACUUCGAAACGCCGCCGUUUGAUGGCCGAACCCGAGCGGUGAUCUGAUCUAGGGAAG
rnacentral:lncRNA from 1 species